GUUGUGGCUUAGUGGUAGAGUACUUGUCUCGCACCCAUGAGACACUGGGUUCUAUCCGUAGCAUCACA
rnacentral:tRNA from 1 species